UGAGUUCCAAGACCCCAGGCCCCAACCCCAGAAACUAGGCCGCACUGCCCUCAACUGAGGGGCUACCUGGAAGGGCCCUCAUAUGGGCACACCCGUGGUCCAGCUUUUGCCGAUUGUCACAUCCCUGCUGUGAAAGGCGACCAGACCUGUGCAGCCGGGAGUUCCCACGGACACUGCUGGGCUCGUUCCUUGCACGACUGUGACCUGUUAGAGAUGACACAACAGCCGCCGCUACACAGCACUGUCCACUGGAGCCUUGUGAGCUGUUAUUGUUUUUAAACUAAAGACCAAGACCACGCAACUCUAUCUUAAGAGGAAGUCAGAAAAC
rnacentral:lncRNA from 1 species